GGGCUCUUGGCACAGGGGUAGCGCGCACGCUUCGCAUCAAUGCUUGCGUGAGGUCGUGGGUUCAAUUCCCACAGUGUCCA